rnacentral:rRNA from 1 species
UACGAAGGGGGCUAGCGUUGUUCGGAUUUACUGGGCGUAAAGCGCACGUAGGCGGCUUCUUAAGUCAGGGGUGAAAUCCUGGAGCUCAACUCCAGAACUGCCUUUGAUACUGAGGAGCUUGAGUCCGGGAGAGGUGAGUGGAACUGCGAGUGUAGAGGUGAAAUUCGUAGAUAUUCGCAAGAACACCAGUGGCGAAGGCGGCUCACUGGCCCGGUACUGACGCUGAGGUGCGAAAGCGUGGGGAGCAAACAGG